GGAAGCGUGCCUGAAAGCUAAGGGCCUCCUUGAUAGGGAGGACUAUAUGAGUUCAAACCUCCUCACUUCC
rnacentral:tRNA from 1 species